GAAAGCGGUAACAUGAAAAUUAGUUGUAAAAUACCCCAUCGGACUAAAACACAAAGACCGUGUUGGUCAUUUCGUUCGCUUUUUAUUGUAAGUUUAACAAACUUAUAAUGCAUCAGCAGACAACAAAGCACAGGCGGACUGGAAUGAAACGGUUUUUUGCCAGAUAUUAACAUCUUUAUACAAUCCGACAAUAAACUAAUUUGAUAUGCUACUCCAUCGACCCAUAAAACAACACAGUAGGCAGCGAUAAUAACUGCAUGUUAAAAUAUACUAUAAAUGAUGU